ACACUCCUACGGGAGGCAGCAGUGGGGAAUAUUGGACAAUGGGCGCAAGCCUGAUCCAGCCAUGCCGCGUGAGUGAUGAAGGCCCUAGGGUUGUAAAGCUCUUUCACCGGUGAAGAUAAUGACGGUAACCGGAGAAGAAGCCCCGGCUAACUUCGUGCCAGCAGCCGCGAUAAUACGAAGGGGGCUAGCGUUGUUCGGAUUUACUGGGCGUAAAGCGCACGUAGGCGGACUAUUAAGUCAGGGGUGAAAUCCCGGGGCUCAACCCCGGAACUGCCUUUGAUACUGGUAGUCUUGAGUUCGAGAGAGGUGAGUGGAAUUCCGAGUGUAGAGGUGAAAUUCGUAGAUAUUCGGAGGAACACCAGUGGCGAAGGCGGCUCACUGGCUCGAUACUGACGCUGAGGUGCGAAAGCGUGGGGAGCAAACAGGAGUAGAUACCCCAGUAGUCCCAUGA
rnacentral:rRNA from 1 species